UAACACAUGCAAGUCGAGGGGCAUCAGGAAUAAAGCUUGCUUUCUUUGCUGGCGACCGGCGCACGGGUGAGUAACACGUAUCCAACCUGCCCUUUACUCGGGGAUAGCCUUUCGAAAGAAAGAUUAAUACCCGAUAGCAUAAUGAUUCCGCAUGGUUUCAUUAUUAAAGGAUUCCGGUAAAGGAUGGGGAUGCGUUCCAUUAGGUUGUUGGUGAGGUAACGGCCCACCAAGCCUUCGAUGGAUAGGGGUUCUGAGAGGAAGGUCCCCCACAUUGGAACUGAGACACGGUCCAAACUCCUACGGGAGGCAGCAGUGAGGAAUAUUGGUCAAUGGGCGCUAGCCUGAACCAGCCAAGUAGCGUGAAGGAUGAAGGCUCUAUGGGUCGUAAACUUCUUUUAUAUAAGAAUAAAGUGCAGUAUGUAUACUGUUUUGUAUGUAUUAUAUGAAUAAGGAUCGGCUAACUCCGUGCCAGCAGCCGCGGUAAUACGGAGGAUCCGAGCGUUAUCCGGAUUUAUUGGGUUUAAAGGGAGCGUAGGUGGACUGGUAAGUCAGUUGUGAAAGUUUGCGGCUCAACCGUAAAAUUGCAGUUGAUACUGUCAGUCUUGAGUACAGUAGAGGUGGGCGGAAUUCGUGGUGUAGCGGUGAAAUGCUUAGAUAUCACGAAGAACUCCGAUUGCGAAGGCAGCUCACUGGACUGCAACUGACACUGAUGCUCGAAAGUGUGGGUAUCAAACAGGAUUAGAUACCCUGGUAGUCCACACAGUAAACGAUGAAUACUCGCUGUUUGCGAUAUACAGUAAGCGGCCAAGCGAAAGCAUUAAGUAUUCCACCUGGGGAGUACGCCGGCAACGGUGAAACUCAAAGGAAUUGACGGGGGCCCGCACAAGCGGAGGAACAUGUGGUUUAAUUCGAUGAUACGCGAGGAACCUUACCCGGGCUUAAAUUGCAGUGGAAUGAUGUGGAAACAUGUCAGUGAGCAAUCACCGCUGUGAAGGUGCUGCAUGGUUGUCGUCAGCUCGUGCCGUGAGGUGUCGGCUUAAGUGCCAUAACGAGCGCAACCCUUAUCUUCAGUUACUAACAGGUUAUGCUGAGGACUCUGGAGAGACUGCCGUCGUAAGAUGUGAGGAAGGUGGGGAUGACGUCAAAUCAGCACGGCCCUUACGUCCGGGGCUACACACGUGUUACAAUGGGGGGUACAGAAGGCAGCUACCUGGUGACAGGAUGCUAAUCCCAAAAGCCUCUCUCAGUUCGGAUCGAAGUCUGCAACCCGACUUCGUGAAGCUGGAUUCGCUAGUAAUCGCGCAUCAGCCACGGCGCGGUGAAUACGUUCCCGGGCCUUGUACACACCGCCCGUCAAGCCAUGGGAGCCGGGGGUACCUGAAGUACGUAACCGCAAGGAUCGUCCUAGGGUAAAACUGGUGACUGGGGCUAAGUC
rnacentral:rRNA from 1 species